AUUAAAUAUUUUAAUCUAAGCAUUAAGUAAUAAAACUAUUUGUGCCCAUUUAUCAUAAGAGGUCACGAAAUAUACUCUUGGUAGUACACAAAACAGUGUAAGGGGUGUAAAUAAAAUGUAUAAUCAUUGAUUUUUUAUAAUAAAAACUAUAAAACAUUUAUUUCUUAUUUGUGAGAAUAAAAAAACAAAACAAUGCAUAAUAUAAACUAUUUUAGAAUUAGGCAUAGGCAACCAAAUACACAAGAAAAAUAAUUUAGAUAAAACCUUGUAAUUAUUUAUUAAAUAUGUCAAUAAAGUCUUAAUUAAGUCUCUAGUCUAUUUUUAUUUUAUAUUUACAUAAUAUAAAUACCUUACACUCUUUUUCCGAUACAGAAAAUUUUGUUAAUUGCUUCUUGAAAAUGCGACAACCUGACAACGCUGUUUUUAACGUUCGGGACGCGUUCGGGUGAACGACUCUACCCGAACAACUGGUAGGACAGAUGCUCAUUAGGACAGAUGUGGUUCUCCCCAUGAGGUGGCGGUAUUCGUCCUACGGGGUAUUUGUCCUACCAACCGAACGUCACUUCGGGCAUGUUCGGUAGUCCUAAAAAUUCCUGUUUCAGGAAUUUUGUCCUGGCUAACGUACUAAAUCUGUCAACGUCGCAUACUUUUCAAUCUUGUUUUGUUUUGGAAUUUGACAAGAUUAACCUCAGAAAAGUUUAAAAUUAUAAUUUUUAUGAACAUUGACGAAUAAUGUUAUGAAUAAUGUAAUAGAACCUGAUAUAAAAUAAUCCGGAAAUAUUUACAAAUAAAGCAUAAACAAAAUGAAAGUGAUAGCAACACGAUUACCUUUGAUAAUGUUUUUUAUAUAAGAAUACGUCUACAUGGGUUGAAAUCUCAGAAAAUAUUAAGCUAUCCACAAAUUCCUGAAAAUAAAUUAGCCGGUGAUUUGCGGAAAAAAUGUUCUUAAUUAUUUUCCCCACAUGAUGUCCUUUCAGGUUCCAGGAAACAGCACGGGCAUGUAUUAGGCAUAAUAAGUAAUUAUAAAGAAAUAUGAGC